GGGUUGUGAGGUUAAGCGAACAAGCGUACACGGUGGAUGCCCUGGCAGUCAGAGGCGAUGAAGGACGUGCUAAUCUGCGAAAAGCGCCGGUAAGGUGAUAUGAACCGUUAUAACCGGCGAUGUCCGAAUGGGGAAACCCGGUGCACUUCGGUGCAUCAUCGUUAGCUGAAUACAUAGGCUAACGAGGCGAACCGGGGGAACUGAAACAUCUAAGUACCCCGAGGAAAAGAAAUCAACCGAGAUUCCCCCAGUAGCGGCGAGCGAACGGGGAACAGCCCAGAGCCUGAAUCAGCUUGUGUGUCAGUGGAACGGUCUGGAAAGGCCGGCGAUACAGGGUGACAGCCCCGUACACGAAGGCACACAGGCUGUGAGCUCGAUGAGUAGGGCGGGACACGUGAUAUCCUGUCUGAAGAUGGGGGGACCAUCCUCCAAGGCUAAAUACUCCUGACUGACCGAUAGUGAACCAGUACCGUGAGGGAAAGGCGAAAAGAACCCCGGCGAGGGGAGUGAAACAGAACCUGAAACCGUGUACGUACAAGCAGUGGGAGCCUUCGUAAGAGGGUGACUGCGUACCUUUUGUAUAAUGGGUCAGCGACUUAUAUUCUGUAGCAAGGUUAACCGUAUAGGGGAGCCGAAGGGAAACCGAGUCUUAAUUGGGCGUUAAGUUGCAGGGUAUAGACCCGAAACCCGGUGAUCUAGCCAUGGGCAGGUUGAAGGUUGGGUAACACUAACUGGAGGACCGAACCGACUAAUGUUGAAAAAUUAGCGGAUGACCUGUGGCUGGGGGUGAAAGGCCAAUCAAACCGGGAGAUAGCUGGUUCUCCCCGAAAGCUAUUUAGGUAGCGCCUCGUGAACUCAUCUCCGGGGGUAGAGCACUGUUUCGGCUAGGGGGCCAUCCCGGCUUACCAACCCGAUGCAAACUGCGAAUACCGGAGAAUGUUAUCACGGGAGACACACGGCGGGUGCUAACGUCCGUCGUGAAGAGGGAAACAACCCAGACCGCCAGCUAAGGUCCCAAAGUCAUGGUUAAGUGGGAAACGAUGUGGGAAGGCCCAGACAGCCAGGAUGUUGGCUUAGAAGCAGCCAUCAUUUAAAGAAAGCGUAAUAGCUCACUGGUCGAGUCGGCCUGCGCGGAAGAUGUAACGGGGCUAAACCAUGCACCGAAGCUGCGGCAGCGACGCUUAUGCGUUGUUGGGUAGGGGAGCGUUCUGUAAGCCUGUGAAGGUGUGCUGUGAGGCAUGCUGGAGGUAUCAGAAGUGCGAAUGCUGACAUAAGUAACGAUAAAGCGGGUGAAAAGCCCGCUCGCCGGAAGACCAAGGGUUCCUGUCCAACGUUAAUCGGGGCAGGGUGAGUCGACCCCUAAGGCGAGGCCGAAAGGCGUAGUCGAUGGGAAACAGGUUAAUAUUCCUGUACUUGGUGUUACUGCGAAGGGGGGACGGAGAAGGCUAUGUCAGCCGGGCGACGGUUGUCCCGGUUUAAGCGUGUAGGCUGACUUUCCAGGCAAAUCCGGAGAGUUAAGGCUGAGGCGUGAUGACGAGGCACCACGGUGCUGAAGUGACAAAUGCCCUGCUUCCAGGAAAAGCCUCUAAGCAUCAGGUAACAUCAAAUCGUACCCCAAACCGACACAGGUGGUCAGGUAGAGAAUACCAAGGCGCUUGAGAGAACUCGGGUGAAGGAACUAGGCAAAAUGGUGCCGUAACUUCGGGAGAAGGCACGCUGACAUGUAGGUGAAGCCCCUGCGGGUGGAGCUGAAGUCAGUCGAAGAUACCAGCUGGCUGCAACUGUUUAUUAAAAACACAGCACUGUGCAAACACGAAAGUGGACGUAUACGGUGUGACGCCUGCCCGGUGCCGGAAGGUUAAUUGAUGGGGUUAUCGCAAGAGAAGCUCCUGAUCGAAGCCCCGGUAAACGGCGGCCGUAACUAUAACGGUCCUAAGGUAGCGAAAUUCCUUGUCGGGUAAGUUCCGACCUGCACGAAUGGCGUAAUGAUGGCCAGGCUGUCUCCACCCGAGACUCAGUGAAAUUGAACUCGCUGUGAAGAUGCAGUGUACCCGCGGCAAGACGGAAAGACCCCGUGAACCUUUACUACAGCUUGACACUGAACAUUGAGCCUUGAUGUGUAGGAUAGGUGGGAGGCUUUGAAGCGUGGACGCCAGUCUGCGUGGAGCCAACCUUGAAAUACCACCCUUUAAUGUUUGAUGUUCUAACCUGGCGCCGUGAUCCGGCGUGGGGACAGUGUCUGGUGGGUAGUUUGACUGGGGCGGUCUCCUCCCAAAGUGUAACGGAGGAGCACGAAGGUCAGCUAAUCCUGGUCGGACAUCAGGAGGUUAGUGCAAUGGCAUAAGCUGGCUUGACUGCGAGAGUGACGGCUCGAGCAGGUGCGAAAGCAGGUCAUAGUGAUCCGGUGGUUCUGUAUGGAAGGGCCAUCGCUCAACGGAUAAAAGGUACUCCGGGGAUAACAGGCUGAUACCGCCCAAGAGUUCAUAUCGACGGCGGUGUUUGGCACCUCGAUGUCGGCUCAUCACAUCCUGGGGCUGAAGUAGGUCCCAAGGGUAUGGCUGUUCGCCAUUUAAAGUGGUACGCGAGCUGGGUUUAGAACGUCGUGAGACAGUUCGGUCCCUAUCUGCCGUGGGCGCUGGAGAAUUGAGGGGGGCUGCUCCCAGUACGAGAGGACCGGAGUGGACGCAUCACUGGUGUUCGGGUUGUCAUGCCAAUGGCACUGCCCGGUAGCUAAAUGCGGAAGAGAUAAGUGCUGAAAGCAUCUAAGCACGAAACUUGCCCCGAGAUGAGUUCUCCCUGAGACUUUAAGUCUCCUGAAGGAACGUUGAAGACGACGACGUUGAUAGGCCGGGUGUGUAAGCGCAGCGAUGCGUUGAGCUAACCGGUACUAAUGAACCGUGAGGCUUAACCUUACAACGCCAAAGAAGU
rnacentral:rRNA from 1 species